CAGAUUCAGAGGUGUAGAGGAGGCACGGCGUCUGAGGCCGCUUGUACAACCCAAGGUUGCAUAGGCUAGUAUAAGCGGAGCGCCAGGAGGAGCAGACGGAGCUGGCACGCUUCAGGUCAGGAAUCUCUAGAAGGGCAAAUAUAUCCACGAGGAGUUCGUGCGGCAGCUCCGGCGAUCCACCUACUUCAAUCUCCAUGUGUGGUGGAUGAAUAUGUUCAUGUUUGAUCUUGAGGAAUUUCUUCAUUAAACUGGGGGGCAGACCUAGCAGCUUGGGUAAGACUCUGAAUACCGUUGAGAAGAACAUCCUUGGGUGUAUGGGUAAACUCCAUAAGCCAAUUGUCCUGGCUAAGCUACAAGCCUCCAUUUUUUGAAGCAAAUACGUACGGAAGAUGAAUUGCUUCAGCGGUGAUUGGAAAGCUGCAACCUCUGAUCCCCACCUAGCUGAAAUUGGAAGAACCUUUGAUUGGUACUCUGAGGUCGGAGGGCCUGGGUACUUAUGGGGAGGCCUCAAUACCAAUUCGAGCAGNCGUCAGGUAUUGGCUCCGUGCUGAUCAUAUCCCAAGUGCAAUGGUAAUGAUUUUUUACAAACAAAAUGCAGACAAAAUGCACAAUUUUUUUGAAGAGAUACAUGGACGUCACACUUUUAGACACAUCAGUCACACUUGGCGCACUUUAUCUGCGAGGAACACCUGAACGAGGAAAACAAAGACCAAGAUGUACUUUCUUAUAUUGGAAGGAAAACACAAAAACUUUGCAUAGGAAAAAGAAAGAUAAUCCCACAAGCAGAAAAAAUAAGACAUCCCUCUCGGCUUUCCCAUUGCACUAAUGAGUUUACAACAUGACUUCUCAGUUUCAACAGAGGGACGGACAGACCCUGUUCUUAACAGAUUAUAGUGCCCCUACAGAUCAGGUAGGCACAUAUAAUAUAAAAUAAGAAAAUAUAAGCGGCUCGCAGGCACGCCCCGUUACAAGAAUCCAAACAUGAAACUGGUAUUGAGUCACUCCAUUAAGGAUCUAACGAAGGAAAGUUCAUAGAUUGCCCGUCGCUGGGUUACAGUCUUGUAAGACUUGGUGUUAUCCAUAUGGGAUUAGGCCAGUUGGGCCAAAGCUGAGGGGACACAAGUUCCUCACAAGUAUUAUUUGCGAAGUCAUAGAUUCCAAUGUCACGACGGUUAUUCUUCCAUCCAAAAAGAUACAGCAAGCAAUCAUCUGUAAAAUAGGCAUGGUUUGCUUUCAGAUGUGGAUACUCUUCAACACUUAGACAAAGUGUUUGGUUGCGCCCAAGAAGCAACACAUGAUCAUCCAAGCUAUCUAUUCCCACAAGCUUUUCAGACGUGGUGUCAAAUUUAAAUAUCUUGAUAUUUGUGGUAUUAGUCAGAUAUGUUGCAGGGUCAGCAUCUUCAACAUACUCACUAUCCUCUUCGGUUCUCCAGACUUGAAGUAGACCGCCACAUGGAGCCUGGGCAAUAUAAAUAUUCUCAUAUGCAAAGUCUUUUGUAAUGUCCAUGAUUAACUCUGUUGUGACCACAGGGCCUCUGAGAUUGAAGGCGAGAAUUUUCCCUUGAGAUGUCACUGCAUAUAAUAGGCCAUCCUUGUAGAUGCAAUCAUGAAAAUAAGAGUGUUGUGGCAGCCAGGUCCACUUGUCAUCCCCUAACCUAGCAAACGAAAGCUGCCCGUCUGGACCGUGGAUAAGCACCACGAUAUGUCCACCUGCAGAUGCAUCAUAAAAUACAAAUGCCUUUUCAUGGAGGUAGCUCCGUAGCUCGGCAAGAGCAAGGAUUGAAGGUUGGAAACUACAGAACCUACUGAGCCGUGGAGAUCCCGUGUGCCGUGAGUAAUGGUACUUAGAUAAGGCACCUGCUUCAUCAAAAAUUGGAGUCACAUGCUCGAUGGUGAUCACCGACGGGAGAGCGAUCUGUUGACAGGUGAUUGGAUUUAGAAGAUGCAUCUCAGACCUCUCAUCAGCAGUAACCAGCCAGCCAUUUGUGGAGCCGAUCAGAUACCUAGUGUGCAUAGGUGGAUCCGGGAGAGUCAACUUGUAUGACCUCUUCUCUGCAAGGCUGUAGAGGAACGCAACACUCUCACCCGCAGAUUCAGAGGUGUAGAGGAGGCACGGCGUCUGAGGCCGCUUGUACAACCCAAGGUUGCAUAGGCUAGUAUAAGCGGAGCGCCAGGAGGAGCAGACGGAGCUGGCACGCUUCAGGUCAGGAAUCUCUAGAAGGGCAAAUAUAUCCACGAGGAGUUCGUGCGGCAGCUCCGGCGAUCCACCUACUUCAAUCUCCAUGUGUGGUGGAUGAAUAUGUUCAUGUUUGAUCUUGAGGAAUUUCUUCAUUAAAC
rnacentral:lncRNA from 1 species